UCGACAUAAUAGUGCCCUGUGCGCCGGA
rnacentral:sRNA from 1 species